ensembl:lncRNA
CUGAGAGAUGCAGGAAAGGGGGAAAUCAUCUCUCCAUUGUUUCAAAGGGUAGAAUGAACUGCUCUGUGGAGAUCUGAACUCCUUGUGUGUACCUGAGGAAGAAUUUGUCUAAAACAGACCUCAGGAAAUGAUGUUUUGAAGAACAGCUCUUCAGACUAUCAGUAAGGUUGGAAAUAAGCUCCAUGAUGAAAUCAAAGAGUCACCGAAUGGCCCAAGUUGGAAGGGACCUUAAGGAUCAUGAAUCUCCAACCCCCCCACAACAGGCAGGGCCACCAACCUCCACUUUUAAUACUAGACCAGGCUGCCCAGGACCCCAUCCAACCUGGCCUUGAACACCUCCGGGGAUGGGGCAUCCACAACCUUUCUGGACAGCCUGCUCCAGCACCUUACCACUCUCACAGUAAAGAACUUCCCCUUACAUCCAACCUAAAUCUUCCCUCCCUCAACUUAAAACCAUUUCCCCUUGUCCUGCUGUUAUCUACCUCCUGCUGUUGACUCUCCUCCUGUUUAUAGGCUCCCUUUAGGUACUGAAAGGCUGCAAUUAGGCCAUCCCGCAGCCUUCUUUUC